rnacentral:rRNA from 1 species
UACAGAGGGGGCAAGCGUUGUUCGGAAUUACUGGGCGUAAAGGGCGCGUAGGCGGUUUGCUACGUCGAACGUGAAAUCCCCGAGCUCAACCCGGGAACUGCGUCCGAUACUGGAAGGCUUGAAUCCGGGAGAGGGAUGCGGAAUUCCAGGUGUAGCGGUGAAAUGCGUAGAUAUCUGGAGGAACACCGGUGGCGAAGGCGGCAUCCUGGACCGGUAUUGACGCUGAGGCGCGAAAGCCAGGGGAGCAAACGGG